rnacentral:sRNA from 1 species
UUAUCCUAGAUUUAGUAAUUAGUACUAUAUGAAGUGUAAAAAAUAUCUUUGGGCAUCUCCAUCAAGGAGAAACCCAAAAAGUUUUUCAAACAAACAAAUUAGUAUUUUACUAAAUUUUUAUUAUAUGAUUAAAUUUUUAUUUUAAUGAAAAAAUUGAACCAAUUGAGAGGAGAGAAAUGUAAUGAUGGCUUGUAGAGAAUAUCUCAUAGUUUCUCACUUGAGAAACUUUCUAUACUCUCUCUCUUCUCUUUUUAUUAUUUUUAUUAUUUUAGUAGUGAGAAACUCUCUUGAGAGACUACCAAUGGAGAUGGUCUUAGAUUUAGUUCUGUAUGAAGUAAGAAAAAAUCUAUCCGCAGAAAUUGGAAUACGUAAUGUAAAUUUGUAAUGAAGACCAUAUAUAUAGAUUUGUA